rnacentral:lncRNA from 1 species
UUAGAAAAUAAAACAUUUAAUUGGGGCUGGCUUACAGUUUCAGAGUUUUAGUCCAUUAAUAUUAUGGCAGGAAACAUGGCAGAGUGCAGGCAGGUAUGGUGCUGGAGAAGGAGCUGAGAGGUCUGAAGGCAGCAGAAGGAGACUGUGUCAUUGGGUGUAGCUUGAGCAUAGAACACCUCAAAGCCUGCCCCUAUAGUGACAUACUUCCUCCAACAAGGCCACACCCACUCCAACAAGGCCACACCCACUCCAACAAGGCCACACCUCCUAAUAGUGCCGUUCCUUAUGGACCAAACAUUCAAACACAUGAGUCUAUGGGGGCCACACCUAUUCAAACCACACUUGGGUUGUUCGGGAGUUUCCAUUGGGCCCUUUGGCUGAUAUCUUGAAUAGAUGUAACCCAAUCCUAGCACUAGGAUUUGAGGUUUCAAAAGCUCACAUCAUUCCUGCUGGUUAUCUUUCUCCUCAGAGUUAUUGUCUCAACAUGUAAGUCCUUAGCUAUUGCUCCAGUACCAAGCCUGCCUGCCUGCUGCCACACUCUCCACUAUGCUGGUCAUGGAGUAAUCCUUGGAAACGGAAGGAAGCCCCAAAUAAACCUUUUCCCCCUAUAAGUUUGCUUGGUCAUAGUGUCUUCCCACAGCAAUAGAAAAAUAACUAAGACACAAACCACAAAAUGGAAGUCGUCACCAAGUUGUUAGCAAGGAGUAACUAAUUCGGUGCUUUGAAGUGGGGUUUACAUGCAGGUUAGAGUCCUAGGUUGCUAGAUGCCUUGUUAGCAGCGCUGUGUCACAUAGCCCACAUGUAGUAGAGUCCAGGAUAAGUUAUUCCCUAUGCUUGCUUGCACCACAAUGACUUCUUACCAGCCUGAAUCAGGAGAAAGACUUAUUUGAGCAAGGUUUCCUAACCCUAUAGGAACUUACUGAAUUGUAUCAACAUGAUCAACAAUACUGAGUUCUGAACAUAAAGCAAGAACAAGUCUUAGGUUGUGAAUUUGCUGCUGUUUACAGCUCCCAUCCUUCUCUCCCUUUUUUUUGUUCUAUAAAACAUAAUGUACAAUAAUUAUACUCCUAUCUGGUCCCCAAGAGAAAGGUUGUUCCAUAUUUUCAUUUCUUCCUUUGAUCUACAUGAUUGUUGGCUGCUUCAUGAGCUCUUUUUACCUCCAAACUUCGUGACAGUUUGCUGUCCACAGCGAUGGCAGCUAGCACUAUGUUAGCAGCAGUGAUGUUUCUUUGCUUCAUCAAAGAUCUGUGUGAUGUUGACAGUGGUGGAAAGUCUGCUGUUUCCUUAGAGUUAUGUCGCACUUGCCUUUUACUGUGUUCUGGCGAUUUGAACUCAGGUCCUUGAUGUGCAGCACUUGACUGAGUCAUCUCUUUUGCCUAUUGCAAAUAUUUGCCACUCCUCCAUGCCAGAUCUCCGGUGUGGUAUGAGAACUCAUAGGGAAGGAGGAGGUGAAGAGAGGCUUCUUGGAGAACCUUUCCAGAGGCCUGCUCUGGCGAAGCAUCCGGACUUCCGGCUCAGCU